GACGUAGGGGCGAGCGUUGUCCGGAAUUACUGGGCGUAAAGAGCACGUAGGCGGGAACUUAAGUCAGGUGUGAAAGACCGUGGCUCAACCACGGGGUGGCAUUUGAAACUGGGUUUCUUGAGGGCAGGAGAGGAAAGCAGAAUUCCUGGUGUAGCGGUGAAAUGCGUAGAAAUCAGGAGGAAUACCAGUGGCGAAGGCGGCUUUCUGGACUGACCCUGACGCUGAGGUGCGAAAGCGUGGGUAGCAAACAGGAUUAGAUACCCGCGUAGUCCCUGAG
rnacentral:rRNA from 1 species